ensembl:rRNA 5S_rRNA 5S ribosomal RNA
ACAUUUGGUAGAGGUUGUGUGGCCACCUGGUCCCAGCAGACCCCAGAGAACAACCACAUUCGCUGGUGCUGGAACAAGGUCAUUAGGGGGAAGCCUGGCACCAGAUGUG